rnacentral:rRNA from 1 species
UUAACACAUGCAAGUCGAGGGGCAUCAGGAAGAAUUCUUGCUUUCUUUGCUGGCGACCGGCGCACGGGUGAGUAACACGUAUCCAACCUGCCCUUUACUCGGGGAUAGCCUUUCGAAAGAAAGAUUAAUACCCGAUGGCAUAAUGAUUCCGCAUGGUUUCAUUAUUAAAGGAUUCCGGUAAAGGAUGGGGAUGCGUUCCAUUAGGUUGUUGGUGAGGUAACGGCUCACCAAGCCUUCGAUGGAUAGGGGUUCUGAGAGGAAGGUCCCCCACAUUGGGACUGAGACACGGUCCAAACUCCUACGGGAGGCAGCAGUGAGGAAUAUUGGUCAAUGGGCGCUAGCCUGAACCAGCCAAGUAGCGUGAAGGAUGAAGGCUCUAUGGGUCGUAAACUUCUUUUAUAUAAGAAUAAAGUGCAGUAUGUAUACUGUUUUGUAUGUAUUAUAUGAAUAAGGAUCGGCUAACUCCGUGCCAGCAGCCGCGGUAAUACGGAGGAUCCGAGCGUUAUCCGGAUUUAUUGGGUUUAAAGGGAGCGUAGGUGGACUGGUAAGUCAGUUGUGAAAGUUUGCGGCUCAACCGUAAAAUUGCAGUUGAUACUGUCAGUCUUGAGUACAGUAGAGGUGGGCGGAAUUCGUGGUGUAGCGGUGAAAUGCUUAGAUAUCACGAAGAACUCCGAUUGCGAAGGCAGCUCACUGGACUGCAACUGACACUGAUGCUCGAAAGUGUGGGUAUCAAACAGGAUUAGAUACCCUGGUAGUCCACACAGUAAACGAUGAAUACUCGCUGUUUGCGAUAUACAGUAAGCGGCCAAGCGAAAGCAUUAAGUAUUCCACCUGGGGAGUACGCCGGCAACGGUGAAACUCAAAGGAAUUGACGGGGGCCCGCACAAGCGGAGGAACAUGUGGUUUAAUUCGAUGAUACGCGAGGAACCUUACCCGGGCUUAAAUUGCAGUGGAAUGAUGUGGAAACAUGUCAGUGAGCAAUCACCGCUGUGAAGGUGCUGCAUGGUUGUCGUCAGCUCGUGCCGUGAGGUGUCGGCUUAAGUGCCAUAACGAGCGCAACCCUUAUCUUUAGUUACUAACAGGUUAUGCUGAGGACUCUAGAGAGACUGCCGUCGUAAGAUGUGAGGAAGGUGGGGAUGACGUCAAAUCAGCACGGCCCUUACGUCCGGGGCUACACACGUGUUACAAUGGGGGGUACAGAAGGCAGCUAGCGGGUGACCGUAUGCUAAUCCCAAAAGCCUCUCUCAGUUCGGAUCGAAGUCUGCAACCCGACUUCGUGAAGCUGGAUUCGCUAGUAAUCGCGCAUCAGCCAUGGCGCGGUGAAUACGUUCCCGGGCCUUGUACACACCGCCCGUCAAGCCAUGAAAGCCGGGGGCACCUAAAGUCCGUGACCGCGAGGGUCGGCCUAGGGUGAAACCGGUGAUUGGGGCUAA